rnacentral:rRNA from 1 species
UGCAAGUCGAACGAGGUGCUCUUGUAGCAAUACGAGAGUAUCCUAGUGGCGAACGGGUGAGUAACGCGUUGGUGACCUACCCCAAAGUGUGGAAUAACAGUCCGAAAGGAUUGCUAAUACCGCAUGUGGUUAUCAGGCUUAGAAACUGAUAACUAAAGGAGCAAUUCGCUUUGGGAGGGACCUGCGUCCCAUCAGCUAGUUGGUGAGGUAACGGCUCACCAAGGCUACGACGGGUAGGGGACCUGAGAGGGUGACCCCCCACAAUGGAACUGAAACACGGUCCAUACACCUACGGGUGGCAGCAGUAGGGAAUAUUGCACAAUGGGCGAAAGCCUGAUGCAGCAACGCCGCGUGUGCGAUGAGGGCCUUCGGGUCGUAAAGCACUUUUCUGAGAGAUGAGAAAGGACAGUAUCUCAGGAAUAAGUCUCGGCUAACUACGUGCCAGCAGCCGCGGUAAAACGUAGGAGGCGAGCGUUAUCCGGAUUCACUGGGCGUAAAGCGCGUGCAGGUGGUUCGGUAAGUUAGGCGUGAAAUCUCCCGGCUCAACUGGGAGAGGUCGUCUAAUACUACCGAACUUGAGAGCAGAAGAGGAAGAUGGAAUUCCCGGUGUAGUGGUGAAAUGCGUAGAUAUCGGGAGGAACACCAGUGGCGAAGGCGAUCUUCUGGUCUGUUUCUGACACUCAGACGCGACAGCUAGGGUAGUAAACGGGAUUAGAGACCCCGGUAAUCCUAGCCGUAAACGAUGUGAACUUGGCGUUGGUGGGUUAAACUCCAUCAGUGCCGAAGCAAACGCGAUAAGUUCACCGCCUGGGGACUACGGCCGCAAGGUUAAAACUCAAAGGAAUUGACGGGGGCCCGCACAAGCAGCGGAGCGUGUGGUUUAAUUCGAUGCUACACGAAGAACCUUACCCAGGCUUGACAUACAGGUGG